AGCGAACGCUGGCGGCAGGCCUAACACAUGCAAGUCGAACGAACCUUUCGGGGUUAGUGGCGGACGGGUGAGUAACACGUGGGAACGUGCCUUUAGGUUCGGAAUAACUCAGGGAAAAUUGUGCUAAUACCGAAUGUGCCCUUCGGGGGAAAGAUUUAUCGCCUUUAGAGCGGCCCGCGUCCGAUUAGCUAGUUGGUUGAGGUAAUGGCUCACCAAGGCUACGAUCGGUAGCUGGUAUGAGAGGAUGAUCAGCCACAUUGGGACUGAGACACGGCCCAAACUCCUACGGGAGGCAGCAGUGGGGAAUCUUGCGCAAUGGGCGAAAGCCUGACGCAGCCAGGCUGCGUGAAUGAUAAAGGUCUUAGGAUUGUAAAAUUCUUUCACCGGGGACGAUAAUGACGGUACCCGGAGAAGAAGCCCCGGCUAACUUCGUG
rnacentral:rRNA from 1 species